rnacentral:rRNA from 1 species
AUUGAACGCCGGCGGCAGGCCUAACACAUGCAAGUCGAGCGGAAGAAGGGAGCUUGCUCCUGGAUUCAGCGGCGGACGGGUGAGUAAUGCCUAUGAAUCUGCCUGGUAGUGGGGGAUAACGUCCUGAGACGGGCGCUAAUACCGCAUACGUCCUGAGGGAGAAAGUGGGGGAUCUUCGGACCUCACGCUAUCAGAUGAGCCUAGGUCGGAUUAGAUAGUUGGUGGGGUAAGGGCCUACCUAGGCGACGAUCCGUAGCUGGUCUGAGAGGAUGAUAAGUCACACUGGAAGUUAGACAGGGACCAUGGGCCUACGGGAGGCAGCAGUGGGGAACGGUAGACAACGGUCGAAAGCCUGAUCCAGCCAUGCCGCGUGUGUUAAGAAGGUCUUCGGAUUGUAAAGCCCGUUAAGUUGGGAGGAAGGGCAGUAAGUUGAUACCUUGCUGUUUUGACGUUAACAACAGAAUAAGCACCGGCUAACUUCGUG